CGGGUUCAGGUGAUGCUGUCAGGCAUGAAUCUUCAUACGACAUGUAGAAUUGUCGGCUGUAAAAUCAUUUGUAAUAUUUCUCAUAGUUGUAAUAGCAUAAUUAUCCAGCGUUAAAAAAACAUUAAUGACAAACCCGGAAAAAAAUAUCCAUGAUAAAAUAUUGACUUUUAUUAGUUACAAACUAUAAAGUAUCUAAUUCUAUUUACCAAAAGUCUACUAUCAGAAUAUGUAUUGUUAAUGAGUGAAUUUAAAAACAUGCAUUAGCAUUUAGCUAGGGCUUAUAAUAGAAUUCGAAGAAAAUAUCUUAUAUCAUCAAAAUGACAAAUAAAGGUCUUUAAAAUUUGGUGAUCAAAACGGAUGAGCCGCAGCAAUCGAAGAUAGAAUCGCCAACCACCAAGCAAUGCUUGAAAUUGAGAUUCCUUGCCGACUGAUUAAUCGAUGGAUUGCCAAUAAAAAUGGACUUUGUUCGGACUUAUUUUGCGACGAAAGAAAUAAGUAAAACAUAUAAACAUUGGUAGAGUUACAGAUCUAUAGAUAAAUGAUGGACACUAUGUAUUUGCAUACCAUUACCAAACCCCGAAGAAAAAAUAUCCAUGGUAAAUAUAGACUUUAUUUGGUUACAAAUUAUAGUAUCCGUUUUUAUUUUACUGUCAAACCUUAUAUCAGAAACCCAAUCGGCAUUUGUCUCAGGAAGUUUAAUUUCGGAUAAUAUUCUUAUUGCUCAGGAGAUGUUUCAUGGACUGCGAACAAAUAAUGCAUGUAAAAAAAAAUUUAUGGCAAUCAAAACAUAUAUGAGUAAAGCUUAUGAUAGGGUAGAAUGGUCCUUUAUGGAGCGGUUAUUAUUGAAAAUGGGUUUCUGUUCUGUCUGGGUAGCCAGGGUGAUGACAUGCAUUUCUUCGGUUUCUUAUAACGUCUUACUUAACGGACAACCUAAGGGAAGUAUUAUUCCAGAAAGGGGUUUGAGACAAGGGGAUCCCCUAUCUCCGUAUUUAUUCAUUUUAUGUACAUAAGCUCUUAUUGCAAAUAUUAGGAAAGAGGUGAGAGACAAAAGGUUAACAGGACUUAAGAUAUCGCGAGGAGGACCUGCGGUCUCACAUUUUCUCUUUGCGGAUGAUAGUUUGUUUUUUUGUAAGGCGAAUGUGAUUGAAUGUGAUGUUAUCCUCAAGCUCCUCAAAGACUAUGAAGCUAUGUCGGGCCAACUGAUAAAUUUUGAUAAAUCAUCUUUGCAAUUUGGUCAUAAGGUACCAGAGUCACAAAGGGUGGAAAUUCAAAAUAAACUUGACAUAACUAAAUUAGGUGGUAUGGGAAAUUAUUUGGGAAUACCAGAAAGUUUGGGUGGAUCUAAAAUACAAAUUUUUGGUUUUUUGAAUGAAAGAGUAAAUAAUAAGGUGAACAGUUGGACGGUCCGGUUCCUAACUAAGGGCGGGAAAGAGGUGAUGAUAAAUUCAGUGGUUUCGACAAUGCCAAAUCAUACUAUGUCUUGUUAUAGAUUAUCAAAGACAGUUAUAAAGAAAAUUACAUGGGCUAUUUCUCACUUCUGGUGGGGUAGUGGUAACAAUAAGAGAGGUAUACAUUGGUUUUCAUGGGAUAAAGUAUGUAAAUCUAAGGAGGAGGGAGGUCUUAGCUUUCCUGAUCUUCAAGAUUUUAAUACGGCCUUAUUGGCUAAGCAAUUAUGGCGGUUGAUAGAUAAACCAGAUUGUUUGUUUUCAAAGGUAUUUAAAGGCCGAUAUUUUUGGAAUACUGAUCCAUUGGAUCCUCACAGAUCUUAUUCACCUUCCUAUGGUUGGAGAAGUAUCUGGUCAGCUAGAUCUCUGGUUAAUAAAUGGCUAAUCAAAAGAGUAGGAUCAGGACAGACCAUCUCCGUAUGGAAUGAUCCGUGGAUUCCUGCUCCUCGCCCGAGGUCAGCUAAACCAAAAACGCUACCCCAAUUUUUAAAUCCUUCUUUAAAGGUGGAUUAUCUCAUCGAUCCAUUGACUAAGUCUUGGAAUGUGGAUUUGCUCAAUGCAUACAUACAUCCGGAUGAUGUUAAGAUUAUUAGAGGCAUGGCUAUAAGCCGGAAUGAUAGGAAGGAUUCUUUUGGGUGGUCUUUCACACAGUCAGGAAAAUAUUAUGUUAAGUCUGGAUAUAGGGUUGAAACAUUAUUUCCAGAUACAGCACAUGAUUUAGUUCCUUAUGGUCCGAAUAUCAAACCACUUUUGGCUUUUUGCUGGAAACUUAAAUGUCCCCCGAAAUUGAAACAUUUUGUUUGGCAAGUUCUCUCAUGUACUAUAUCGGUUUCAAAAAACUUAAGGUCACGGGGGAUUAAUUGUGAUACCCGAUGUAGUAUUUGUGGCGCAGAGGAAGAGUCAGUUAAUCAUGCUUUAUUUGAUUGUCCUCCAGCUCUGCAAACUUGGGCUUUAUCAAAAAUCCCCUCAGCCCCUAGUGUUUUUCCAACGAAUUCGGUAUUUACCAAUAUGGAUUAUCUCUUCUGGAGAUUGCCAAAAGAGCAUGAUUUUAGUAACUUUCCAUGGAUUAUGUGGUACAUUUGGAAAAAUAGAAAUAAUAAAGUUUUCAAUAAUAGGGAUGAAAAUCCUCAGGAAAUACUUAGAUAUGCAGAAGUGGAGAGCGAGGUAUGGGCGGAAGCUCAGACUACAAUUCCAAAAAAAACAAGUUUUGGGCCCACAAAACUUUGAAUGACAAGCAUCAGGACAGUCAAGAAUUUGUUUUGUAGAUGGUGCGUGGAAAGAGAAUGACAAAUUCACGGGGCAGGGAUGGUUCUGCAGAGUAGUAGGAUCAGAAGAGAAGAUGAUGGGGGCGAUGAAUCUCCGAAGAAGCUUAUCAGCUCUACAUGCCGAAUGUGAAGCUUUGAUAUGGCUAUGGAGUGCAUGAAGACCCUUGAUUUUUUAGACGUAGUUUUUGCAAUAGACUGUUCUCAAUUGGUGAAGAUGAUGUCCUCACCAGACGAAUGGCCACCUUUUGCUACACACAUGGAGGAGUUUCGACGCAGUAAGUGUUUCUUUCCUUCCUUCAAGAUUCGACAUAUACCAAGAGCAACUAAUCUAGUGGCGGACAAGCUUGCACGAGGUGCUCGGAGUUCCCCUUCAGCUGUGUUUUAUGUUGAUUCUACUCCACCGGUUUGGUUUUCCGAACCGGUAGGUUUCUUAUCAUAGUUUAGUUAUUGUUGUCAAAAAAAAAAAAAAUCCGCUAACUAAAUUAAUGGUUAACGAGUGAAUGAAAAAACUCUACACCAUGACAUACAUGUGUUAGCAUUUAGCUAGGGUUUGACAAAAUUCGAAGAAAAAUAUCUUAGAUAGUCAAAAAUGUCAAAUAAUCAAGGCUUUUAAGUUAUAGUGAUCGAUCAAAGCGGAUGAGUCAUAGCAAUCGAAGAUAGAGUUGCCAACCACCCAGCAAUCACUACAAGAAAUAGUUCAUUUUCUGACUUCAUUUUGGUUAAAAAAUGGACAAAAACUUCGUCAGAAAUUGAUAAUGGUUGGAAAGUGGUCAGAAAUUUUUGACUAUACUAAUGGUUAGAAAUGUCGUCAUAAACUAUCGUCAUGAAAUGGUCAAAAAAUAAUCUUCCAGUUUCUGAUAAAUUUCUGACUACCUUUUUAAUAAUUGAUUUUGGAUAAUCAAGUUGGGAUCUCUUUGUGACGCUAAAUAUUGAAACAGAAAGCAUGGAUCUAACCUUGCAAGGAGUAGAGGAACUAUGGCUGGAGCAAGGCUGGGAUGGACAGUGACAACAGAAACACUGAAGCUUCUCAUACAUGACCUGUAAUGAAUGAAAAAAUAAGUUAUGAUGAUGGAAUAGCAGAGAAGAAAAUAAAAAAUGAAACUAGAUCGAGAAGGGGUGCGAAGGAGGUCUCUCAAAUUAGGAGAAAAGCAGUAAAACAAAAAAAAUGAAAAAGAUGCUCAACGGUGCCGC
rnacentral:lncRNA from 1 species